GACGAAGGAUGCAAGCGUUAUCCGGAUUCAUUGGGUUUAAAGGGAGCGUAGGUGGCCUUAUAAGUCAGUGGUGAAAUCUCUGGGCUUAACCCAGAAAUUGCCAUUGAUACUGUAGGGCUUGAGUAUAGAUGCCGUUGGCGGAAUAUGACAUGUAGUGGUGAAAUACAUAGAGAUGUCAUAGAACACCGAUCGCGAAGGCAGCUAACGAAACUAUAACUGACACUGAGGCUCGAAAGUGUGGGGAUCAAACAGG
rnacentral:rRNA from 1 species